rnacentral:rRNA from 1 species
AGUGAACGCUGGCGGCAGGCCUAACACAUGCAAGUCGAACGGCAGCACGGCAGUAGCAAUACUGUGGGUGGCGAGUGGCGGACGGGUGAGGAAUACAUCGGGAUCUACCCUGUUGUGGGGGAUAACGUAGGGAAACUUACGCUAAUACCGCAUAAGAACUGAGGUUGAAAGCGGCGGACCGCAAGGCGUCGCGCGAUUGGAUGAACCGAUGUCCCGAUUAGCUAGUUGGCGGGGUAAAGGCCCACCAAGGCGACGAUCGGUAGCUGGUCUGAGAGGACGACCCAGCCACACUGGAACUGAGACACGGUCCAGACUCCUACGGGAGGCAGCAGUGGGGAAUAUUGGACAAUAGGGCGCAAGCCUGAUCCAGCCAUGCCGCGUGGGUGAAGAAGGCCUCGG